GAUGAACGCUGGCGGCGUGCCUAAUACAUGCAAGUCGAGCGAGCAGACGAGGAGCUUGCUCCUCUGACGUUAGCGGCGGACGGGUGAGUAACACGUGGAUAACCUACCUAUAAGACUGGGAUAACUUCGGGAAACCGGAGCUAAUACCGGAUAAUAUAUUGAACCGCAUGGUUCAAUAGUGAAAGACGGUUUUGCUGUCACUUAUAGAUGGAUCCGCGCCGCAUUAGCUAGUUGGUAAGGUAACGGCUUACCGAGGCAACGAUGCGUAGCCGACCUGAGAGGGUGAUCGGCCACACUGGAACUGAGACACGGUCCAGACUCCUACGGGAGGCAGCAGUAGGGAAUCUUCCGCAAUGGGCGAAAGCCUGACGGAGCAACGCCGCGUGAGUGAUGAAGGCCUUCGGAUCGUAAAACUCUGUUAUUAGGGAAGAACAAAUGUGUAAGUAACUAUGCACGUCUUGACGGUACCUAAUCAGAAAGCCACGGCUAACUACGUG
rnacentral:rRNA from 1 species